UACGUAGGGGGCAAGCGUUGUCCGGAUUUAUUGGGCGUAAAGAGCGUGUAGGCGGCCAGGUAGGUCAGCUGUGAAAACUCGAGGCUCAACCUCGAGACGUCGGUUGAAACCACCUGGCUAGAGUCCGGAAGAGGAGAGUGGAAUUCCUGGUGUAGCGGUGAAAUGCGCAGAUAUCAGGAGGAACACCGAUUGCGAAGGCAGCUCGCUGGGACGUAACUGACGCUGAGACGCGAAAGCGUGGGGAGCAAACAGG
rnacentral:rRNA from 1 species